rnacentral:rRNA from 1 species
GCUAUACAUGCAGUCGAGCGAAUGGAUUAAGAGCUUGCUCUUAUGAAGUUAGCGGCGGACGGGUGAGUAACACGUGGGUAACCUGCCCAUAAGACUGGGAUAACUCCGGGAAACCGGGGCUAAUACCGGAUAACAUUUUGAACUGCAUGGUUCGAAAUUGAAAGGCGGCUUCGGCUGUCACUUAUGGAUGGACCCGCGUCGCAUUAGCUAGUUGGUGAGGUAACGGCUCACCAAGGCAACGAUGCGUAGCCGACCUGAGAGGGUGAUCGGCCACACUGGGACUGAGACACGGCCCAGACUCCUACGGGAGGCAGCAGUAGGGAAUCUUCCGCAAUGGACGAAAGUCUGACGGAGCAACGCCGCGUGAGUGAUGAAGGCUUUCGGGUCGUAAAACUCUGUUGUUAGGGAAGAACAAGUGCUAGUUGAAUAAGCUGGCACCUUGACGGUACCUAACCAGAAAGCCACGGCUAACUACGUGCCAGCAGCCGCGGUAAUACGUAGGUGGCAAGCGUUAUCCGGAAUUAUUGGGCGUAAAGCGCGCGCAGGUGGUUUCUUAAGUCUGAUGUGAAAGCCCACGGCUCAACCGUGGAGGGUCAUUGGAAACUGGGGAGACUUGAGUGCAG